AAGCAAUUAACUAUAAGCUUAUUUAAUAGUAAUUUUUAUCGUUAUUCUCGUAACAAUAAGAAGAAGGUCAACGCCCAACAUACAAUGAGCUACUAUAAAACCAAAAAAACUAAAGUAGUUGCCCCAAAUCAAGUUCAAAGAGAUCUACUUCAACUCCUACAAGUGUAAUUAUCAUAAAAUGGAUUCGACAAAGAGCAAUGAAGAUGUUUCGCACGUUGAUGUGAUUAAUGCCAAGGAUCUGCUCUCCUCGGGUCACCGUACUUAGAUGUGAGGUGAGGUAUUGUAAAUUCUUAUAAACAAAAGAAAUCUACUAAAGUUAAAGCAAUUUGCAUUAUUUUAGCAAAUCUUGAUAAUUUCUUCUUAUUUAAUCUCAUUUUAUUUUACUUCUUUAUUUCAAUCUUUCCUUGUAAUAAAAGCUCUGUUCUUUUCUAUCUCUCUGUUGGGGUUUACGGGACAGUUGAAGAGUUUAACAGAGGACGUAUUGAUAAAGCGAUAAAUAUUCCAUACAUGUUCCUCACUGAAGAAGGAAGAGUACAAAACCCAGAUUUUCUUGUCCAGGUCUCUUCAGUGUGCCAAAAGGAGGAUCAUCUGAUUCGGGUAAAUAUACUUUUUUUUUUGUUUCCCAUCCGGUAUCGGUGUCCGGUACCCGCAUUGGAGCUCGUACUAUAUCCGGAUUCGCGCCGGGUAAGGCCCCAUUCGAGGGGUAGCGCUCCCUACCAAGGAAUUUUCUAUACUCAUGGCUCGAACUCGAGACUUCUGGUUAAGGGAGGAGCAACCCCAUCCACUACACCACAUUACUUGAUGGUGUGGUAAAUAUACUUAUAUAUCUCUUAACUUGCUUUUUCAAAAUUUAAAUUAUAUACGCCGAUAGUAUUAAAAAAAUUACUUGUCACUUAAUCUAAAUUAACAAUAAAAAUUUCUUAAUUAGAGCUACCUAUAAUUACCUUUUAAAUAAUCAAAUCGUGUAAAUAUUUCUUACACAUGCAAGUUGCAAUAUACAAAUGUAACCUCUUCUUUUGAGCAACUCUCGUAUUAGAGGUGGAUGCCAAGUUAACUGAGUUCAACUAACCGAAUAUUUUUGACACGUUGUGUAAAUAUAUACGGGAAAAUUACUGAAAUUCUUAACAAAUAUUAAAUUUUGAACUUAUAAUUUCAUAAGCAUAAUGAGUUUAAUGGUAGAACUUUAUGGUUGAACCCGUCAAAUUCAAAUUCUGGAUCCAUAUUAGCCUGCCGUUUAAAAAAAAAUCCUUAAAAUAUAGUAGUGCUAUAUAUGUUAUUGAGUGUAGGGGUAGAAGCCUAGAAGGAUGUAAGAAAUUUGGAAGGAGGGUACUCAGCAUGGGUGGAUAAUGACUUUAAAGGAGAUAAUAAAGCAGAAGCUGAACAGUUCAAAACUGCCUGCAAGUUUCGACCAUGAACAUAAGUGUGGAUUGCUUGAAUUUGCAUUAGAAUUAUUUUCUGCACUAUAAAGCCAUUUCAUAUGGAAUGAAAAAUGGCAUCAUGGGAAUAAACAUAUAAAACUUCUAUAUUACAUUUUGAUUUCAAGUUGUUGCCUGCAAAGGAUUUUCUCUUUUGUUUGAUGAUACUGAGAUUGUUAA